AUUGAACGCUGGCGGAAUGCUUUACACAUGCAAGUCGAACGGUAGAGGGGGCAACCCCUCGAGAGUGGCGAACGGGUGAGUAAUAUAUCGGAACGUGCCCAGUCGUGGGGGAUAACGUAGCGAAAGUUGUGCUAAUACCGCAUACGUACUGAGGUAGAAAGUGGGGGACCUUCGGGCCUCACGCUAUUCGAGCGGCCGACGUCUGAUUAGCUAGUAGGUGAGGGAAAGGCUCACCUAGGCGACGAUCAGUAGCGGGUCUGAGAGGAUGAUCCGCCACACUGGGACUGAGACACGGCCCAGACUCCUACGGGAGGCAGCAGUGGGGAAUUUUGGACAAUGGGCGAAAGCCUGAUCCAGCCAUGCCGCGUGUCUGAAGAAGGCCUUCGGGUUGUAAAGGACUUUUGUCAGGGAGGAAAUCCCUAGUGCUAAUAACACUGGGGGAUGACAGUACCUGAAGAAUAAGCACCGGCUAACUACGUGCCAGCCGCCGCGGUAA
rnacentral:rRNA from 1 species